rnacentral:rRNA from 1 species
UAUCCCAUCGCAAGAGUAAGACCCCUUGAAGACUACGAGGUAGAUAGGGCUAAGCUGUAAGUGCUGUAAAGCAUUCAGGUGAUAGUUACUAAUAGGUCGAGGGUUUGACCA